rnacentral:misc_RNA from 1 species
GAAAUGCGAUAAGUAGUGUGAAUUGCAGAAUUCAGUGAAUCAUCGAAUCUUUGAACGCACAUUGCGCCUUCUGGUAUUCCGGAAGGCAUGCCUGUUCGAGCGUCAUUAAAAACCACUCAAGCAAUUUUGCUUGGUAAUGGAAGAAAAGCUUCUCAAGAAUGCUUUCUUCUGAAAUUGAAUGGCGGAAAGUCUUGUGUUUCCUGGCGUAGUAAGUUCUUUCGCUUGGACCCUAUAGCAUUCCAGCCUUUAAUUCCCAUCAUUUGAAGUUGGCCUCGGAUCAGGUAGGGAUACCCGCUGAACUUAA